UCCUAGUGAUGACACCCGCACGCGUCUUACGCCCUGCGUCGACGACAGAACCUGCAAAGGUGGACCCACUGGCGUUGCCAGGGCAACAACAAGGGGACAGCUCGUUGGGGUUACCAACUGUCUGAUGGGA